rnacentral:rRNA from 1 species
GUCCACGCCCUAAACUAUGUCAACUAGACGUUGGGUUCUUUAAUGAACUUAGUGUCGAAGCUAACGCGUUAAGUUGACCGCCUGGGGAGUACGGCCGCAAGGUUGAAACUCAAAGGAAUUGACGGGGGCCCGCACAAGCGGUGGAGCAUGUGGUUUAAUUCGAUGCAACGCGAAGAACCUUACCAGCCCUUGACAUCCUGGGAAUCUUGUAGAGAUACGAGAGUGCCUUCGGGAAUCCAGUGACAGGUGCUGCAUGGCUGUCGU